AGUAAUGUCUGGGAAACUGCCUGAUGGAGGGGGGUAACUACUGGAAACGGUAGCUAAUACCGCAUAACGUCGCAAGACCAAAUGGGGGACCUUCGGGCCUCAUGCCAUCAGAUGUGCCCAGAUGGGAUUAGCUAGUAGGUGGGGUAACGGCUCACCUAGGCGACGAUCCCUAGCUGGUCUGAGAGGAUGACCAGCCACACUGGAACUGAGACACGGUCCAG
rnacentral:rRNA from 1 species